rnacentral:rRNA from 1 species
UACAGAGGUCUCAAGCGUUGUUCGGAUUCAUUGGGCGUAAAGGGUGCGUAGGCGGCGCGGUAAGUCGGGUGUGAAAUCUCGGAGCUUAACUCCGAAACUGCAUUCGAUACUGCCGUGCUUGAGGACUGGAGAGGAGACUGGAAUUUACGGUGUAGCGGUGAAAUGCGUAGAUAUCGUAAGGAAGACCAGUGGCGAAGGCGGGUCUCUGGGCCAUUACUGACGCUGAGAAGCGAAAGCAUGGGGAGCGAACAGG